rnacentral:tRNA from 1 species
GGGAAUGUGGCUUAGUGGUAGAGUGCUUGCCUAGUAUGCAUGAAGCCCUGGGUUUGAUCCCUCAGCACCA